rnacentral:rRNA from 1 species
CACGCUGUAAACGAUGGAAGCCAGCCGUUGGGCAGCAUGCUGUUCGGUGGCGCAGCUAACGCAUUAAGCUUCCCGCCUGGGGAGUNCAACGCGCAGAACCUUACCAGCUCUUGACAUGCCUGGACGCAAGCAGAGAUGUUUGUUUCCCUUCGGGGACCGGGACACAGGUGC